rnacentral:rRNA from 1 species
GUUCCAGCCGCCGCGGUAAUACGGAGGGUGCAAGCGUUAUCCGGAUUCACUGGGUUUAAAGGGUGCGUAGGAGGACUGGUAAGUCAGUGGUGAAAUCCCCGAGCUUAACUUGGGAACUGCCGUUGAUACUAUCAGUCUUGAAUACCGUGGAGGUGAGCGGAAUAUGUCAUGUAGCGGUGAAAUGCUUAGAUAUGACAUAGAACACCAAUUGCGAAGGCAGCUCGCUACACGAAUAUUGACUCUGAGGCACGAAAGCGUGGGGAUCAAACAGGAUUAGAUACCCGAGUAGUCC